GACGAAGGGGGCUAGCAUUGUUCGGAAUUACUGGGCGUAAAGCGCGUGUAGGCGGUUAUCCAAGUCAGGUGUGAAAGCCUUGAGCUCAACUCAAGAAAUGCACUUGGUACUGGGUGACUAGAGGACCGGAGAGGAUAGUGGAAUUCCCAGUGUAGUGGUGAAAUACGUAGAGAUUGGGAAGAACACCAGUGGCGAAGGCGGCUAUCUGGACGGUUUCUGACGCUAAGACGCGAAAGCGUGGGGAGCAAACAGG
rnacentral:rRNA from 1 species